AAAAUUUUUCAGAUUCCCCGUCACAUCGAAUCUUUAAACGUAUGCAUGAAGUAUUAAAUAUAGAUGAAAAUAAAAACUAAUUACACAGUUUGGUCGGAAUUGACGAGACGAAUCUUUUGAGCCUAGUUAGUGCAUGAUUAGACAAUAUUUGUCAAAUACAAACGAAAGUGCUACAGUGCCUGUUUUGCAAAAUUUUUUGGAACUAAACAAGGCC
rnacentral:lncRNA from 1 species